UUUGUCUUUUUUUCCAGAUAGAUUUUUUAGUUUUGUUUUUGUAACUACAAUAUAAUAUCACUUCCGUUAUAUUAAAUUAAGUGUUUUUAUUUACAAUUUUAUGUAUUUACAAUUAUUAUUUCUCAGUUACAGCUGCCAUAAUGAAACAAUUCAUGAAAUCUUUAAAUUAAAAAGCACUCUUUUUAUUUCAGUAACAAAUUGACUUUUUGUUAUUGGAUGAAGUUAGUUCUUUAGCUUAACUCUGCAAAUCUACUAUUUGAAAUGAAAAAGUGUUACUCGGGAGAAAAAAAACAUAUAUAUUCUUGGGCAAUGGAAAGAUUUCCCUAUCAUGAUCUGUAGCUGAAUAAUCUCCAAAUAUUUGCAACUUCCGGGCAGUGGCUUACAAGGUACUGGACACCUUACAGACGAAGACCAACUUGAAGGGUAUAUAUCUCAUAACCUCCAAUCAAGAUUAGCAUAUUCUCAAGUUUGAAAUGACUUUUUACAAAGUACACUGGAUGAGGAACACAGGUUCAGGAUCUAUUUAUCCUUGUGGUAUGGGUUGACAAGAGAGUAUGAAAACAAGGGUGAAAUGGGCAUGGUCUUAAUAGACUUCAUCCUAAUGGCUGUGAUAACAAAUCUUAUUUCUUUUUAAAAGUUAUGCUGCUGAUCCAAAAGUACAAUUUUCGUUCCUAAUAUUUCGGGUAAGUACAGUUUUUUUUUGGGGG